rnacentral:misc_RNA from 1 species
GAAUUUUGUAAGUUCACCUUUACUUGUAGCUUUCUAUUCCACCUAGGUUUUCACCUGAAAUGAAAAUUUCAUAAUUUCAGAAAAAAAAAGGCUAAAUGACUAAAAAUUAACAAGUCCCAAUCAACAGUAUCCUAAAAAAACUUCACUAUUUAUUGACAGGAGUAAAAAAUUUUUUAUCCAAGCUGCAGUUUGCCACUUGAAUAUGCAAAACUUCAGACAGGGAACCAACAAUCUAUAAGAUAAUUUAGGGCUCAUUUGCCCAUAUUAUCAUAUUAUUGAUCUUACGUGCACCAAUUGGUAAUUUAAAGUCGAUCAUUUAAGAAAUGUAAUUUUCCAUCUUGUUUCUUUGUUAAAGCAUCAUUUCCUUCAAGAGAAAGGAAAUUGUGUCAUUCUUCUGUCUGAUAAGUAAUGUAGAGAAACUUGCUUUCGAAAUCAUAGAGGGACACAGUUAGAGCAGCUUCGGAAUUUGCCACCCGGAAUCAGUUGCCACCUCACAUACAGGAUCAAUUGCAGUCACACCUGUGUCUGAAGUUCAAAACAGAAG